GCCGGAUUAGCUCAGUGGUAGAGCAGCUGAUUUGUAAUCAGCAGGCCGGCGGUUCGAAUCCGCCAUCCGGCUCCA
rnacentral:tRNA from 2 species